CGAGCGAGCGAGCAGCGAGGCGCCCAGAGAGCCCUCGAGCGAGAACCCCGCUGUCGUCUCCCUCAGAAGCAGCCGCCCGCCGAAUCAAAUCGCGCUGCCAGCCUCGUCCGCCUCGCCGUGCCUGCGUCCCUCCCCGGACGGCGGCGACGAUGGAGGGAUCCACUGGCGCUGGCCAGGCCCCCGGCCGAUGGACGCGCCGGAUCGUCGCUCCUCUGGGCCAGCCCCUCCCGCCGCGCUGGAUCACGUGGCAGCCUAGCUUGUCAGAGAUGGCAAAGCUGUUAUAUAUAGGGUACGGCUCCGAGCUAGCCGAUGCCUACUGUAUCCAGUGUUCUGUUGCAUCCGGUGCGACCUCAAAGAAUACCUUCUUCUAGCUGGGCGUUGAGCGCCUCAGGGACGACGAGGUGCAGCGCCUGGGGUGGAAGCAGUUCAACUACACGAUGAAGAAGUGAGUGAAGGGGUUAAGAUGGUUGCGUUGUGCGUGCGCUGCUUGCUUGCCGCUGUUGCAUA